ACCCGCUGAAUUUAAGCAUAUAAGUAAGUGGUGGAAAUUAAACCAAAUGGGAUAUCUUUAGUAAUUACGAAUGAACAAGGAUAUGCUUAGCUUGACAAAUGGAGCUAUUGGCUUUGAAUUGUAUUGUGGAAAUGUAUUACCAACAGAGGUGCAGGUGCCAGCAUAUUGAAAUAGAGCGUCAAUGAGGGUGAGAAUCCUGUUUGCCAUGUGCAGCCCUUUGUGCACGGUGUAUAUUUGCUGAGUCACACUCCUUGGCAUUGGAAUGCAAAGUGGGUGGUAAGUUUCAUGUAAAGGUAAACAUGCAACUGAGACUGAUAGCACACAAGUGCCAUGAGGGAAAUAUGAAAAAGGUUUUUGAAAAGAUAAUAAAAUGAGUUUGUAUUUGCUGAACACAAAGUAAACAGACUUGAUUUGCUUGGUGGGAGUGUUGCACUUGCUUGACAAGAGCUUUGGGCUGUGGGUGUAAUGAUUCUUUCUUUGCAUGCCAGUUUCUAUGUGUACAUCUGAUUACCUUUGCACAUGAAUGAUAAGUCUCCUGUGGGGGGUGGAUUGCAUGUGCAUGUAAUGAUUUGUGUUUUGAUAAAUGUGUCUGGUGUAUGUGUGUGUGUUCCUGUGCUUGGGGAUGCUUCCUUCCUUGGACUUACAAGCCCUGACACACACAUGCUGGCAAAAUGCUUCUGCUUGACCCGUCUUGAAACACGGACCAAGG
rnacentral:rRNA from 1 species